AUGUCGACCUGCAGCUGGAGGAGGCCCCGGACUUCAGCUAGCCAUGCGUGCCACUACGACGCCCAGGACGUCCAACUUCGCAAACUUAGGUCGUUCAACUCUGUUGUGCUCCUCAUGGAUGACCACGCCUGCUACUACAGUAGGGCACACAAAUGGGGCAUGCCUUGCAUUUUGUUGUUUUGUGCCACGCCAAAUUCACUAUUUGUUUUGCUGAAGUUCACUUUUCAUGUAAAGAGAAGGAGACACCGAGAUGCCUGUGAAGAUCAGCGUGUCGACAGGUCAAUUGUGUCGCAUCUCGAGCGGCCAACUGCUCUGGCCGGAUCCAUCGCUAGUGCGUCGCUCAUGUUGGUGAACGUGGUUGUGGAGGAGGCCCUCCGCACCGAGCCCGUCGGCGUUGACACCAACUCGUGUGCAUCUCCCCUACUAACAUCUAUCCACAAAAAUUUAGAGAUGUUCCGUCAAGUUCUAGCGCAACCAUAG
rnacentral:rRNA from 1 species